UGAAAUCUCACGCCCAUGAUUUCCUCCCCAUGGUCGAACCAAUGUUUCCAACAGCAAAAAGGAAACGAUUCUGAAACCUUUUCCUUCCCUAUCCUUCACCUUUAUUUUAUCAAGAGGCCUUAAGUUAUGGCGUGAGAGAAGAAAAGGAUUUUAGGGAUUCGGAAUGGAAAGGAAUUGUACGGAGAACUAAGAAUUCAGAAUACGUUUAACAAAUAACAGUUGUGUUGAUAUGAAGAAAAUUAUGAAAACCUAGAAAGAUAUAUACAUAAAGAGAUGGGAAAGAAAACAAAUUGUCUACCUGUUUGAUUCAUGUUUUUAUGAAAACCUAGAAAGAUAUAUGAUUCACUGUGAACCCAGGUCCUUGCACAGGUUUUUUUUUACUAUAUGUUUGAUUUCCUGUUUUUUUU
rnacentral:lncRNA from 1 species